rnacentral:rRNA from 1 species
GAUCAUGGCUCAGGAUGAACGCUGGCGGCGCGCCUAACACAUGCAAGUCGAACGGCGAAGUCCCUUCGGGGACGGAACAGUGGCGGACGGGUGAGUAACGCGUGAGUAACCUGCCCUUACGAGCGGAAUAGCGUCGGGAAACUGACGGUAAUACCGCAUGAAGCUUGACCCCGGCAUCGGGGAGAAGCCAAAGAUUUAUCGCGUAAGGAUGGACUCGCGUCCCAUUAGAUAGUUGGCGGGGCAACGGCCCACCAAGUCAGCGAUGGGUAGCCGGACUGAGAGGUUGAACGGCCACAUUGGAACUGAGAGACGGUCCAGACUCCUACGGGAGGCAGCAGUGGGGAAUAUUGGGCAAUGGGCGAAAGCCUGACCCAGCGACGCCGCGUGAGCGAAGAAGGUCUUCGGAUUGUAAAGCUCUGUGUACAGGGACGAAGAAUGACGGUACCUGUAUAGAAAGCCACGGCUAACUACGUGCCAGCCGCCGC